AAUCAUUCUGCUGAAUAGUAGCUGAGAUCAGAUGACCCCGGAUGCUGGGGAAGGCUGUAUAUUAAAAUCUGCUUGUUGGGUUCUGUAGCAGAAGAAGUUGUCCUGUCUCACAGCAAGAUAGCCAGCAGACCCAGUGCCACCAGCCAAUCUUGCUCCAUCUUUUGGAAUGGACACUGGAUGAAAUGAAAUACUCCAGUUCAGCUGCUCAUCAUAAAAUUUCAUUGAAUCCUCAUUGUACUGCUAGGACUCAAAAGGAGGAUAAGUUUCAAAACCUGAAAUCAUGCAAGAUCAUGCUCAGCUCCUGUGGUUUGAACUUCAGAGCAUCUAUAACGUCAACAGUCCUUACAGAAGAAUGUCUUCCUCUUUCCUGAGAAGCCCCUGAGGCCCUGCUUUCAUUCAUUGGGGCCAUUAAUUCAUGAUCCUCUGUCUUUGGCAGGAGCACAGUCUGAUAACAGCUUCAGGAUCAAGACUUUCCAGUUCCUGAGGAUGGAGGCUGGAACCUCAGAGGGGCCCAGGCAUCAGUGUGCAACCAGUGUUGAGAACCACUGCUUUGGAAGGUUGUCACAGAAGCUCAGGUAAGAGAUGAUGGACCUCUGGAUGAGGAGAGUGGCAAUGGAGAUGAAUUUGAGAUUUAUUUUGAGAUAGAACAGACA